rnacentral:lncRNA from 1 species
GCUAUUCUUUAAAAAGGAAAAAAGGAGUAAUCAGCUGUGACACGAAAAAAAUGGCCCACUCAACUUUUUAUUAACAAAAGCAAUGUACUUCUGAUCAUCUCCAGUGAUCAACAUAAAAAUAGAUGUUUUACUACCAGUCACAAGCUUUAUGUUAGGCGCAGUACUCAUACAGGAACUUAUGAGCAAGAAUUGCUCUAUCAAUCACCAUCUACAUUAGAUAUAUCUUCUGAAACUUUUUUCAAAUCCAAAAGUUCAGUACCUUCCUACAAAUUAGUGAAUUAGGAGGGGGGCUCUUUUGUGUAGAAAAAUAAAAAGCAGGGCAAUCUUUCUGUUCCCAAAAUUCCUAAAAUAAAAGGAAAAAACUUUCCACUUUCCUAAACUAAGGACGGGAAAUAAGAAGGUGAGCAUAUCUUCUAAAUUAAUAAUACUCAACUCAGCCCUUCCUAGAAUGGGGUAUUAUCUGUCCCGAUAAAUAGAUAAUUCCAGGAGUAAUAAAUAGGAGUAAAUUAAAUAAAGUAUUGAUAUAAUUGGAAUUGCGGAAGCAAAUACCAAUUUACUAAAAAAAGAAAAAAGUAUCUAAUCGAAAUCGAAAGAAUUUUUUUUUAAGAUUAAACAAAAGGGUUCGCAAAUAAUUCAACCGGGUUAUUCUAUUCCACUUCUAGAUAGAGAAAAAAACUAAAGGUGUUCAAGUCCCUCUAUCCCCAAAUCCUCUUUUAUUCCCUAACUAUACUAUAUUAUUAUUAUUUAUCCUCUUUUUUUUCUUUUUAUCAAUGACCGCUUUACUAAAAAAGUGGGUUCACUAAGAGGGGAGAUAAAAAGGCGGGCGACAAGAAGGCGGUUAGCAGCCCCGAAGGGCGUAAAGGGGGUAAAAGAUUUCUCAAAAGCAGCUCUUCGCCGAAAAGGAGUCUAUUGAUUCUCUCCCAAUUGGUUGGAUCGUAGGUUCGAAUCUGAUAGAGUACUUUUCCACUAAAUUGAUUCACUUUUUUUCUUUGUUUUUGAAACUUUCUCUAUAUUUUUAGAGCUCUUCCAUUGAAGUUUUUUUAGGCUAGUUGAAUAGUUUUGAUUAAGGUUUUAUUAGUUUAUUACUCGAAACUAAAUCAAGGAUUUUCAGGAUACUUCCUGCCGCUCGUCGCCCGAUCGCCGGUGUUCGGAGGCGAAUCCUCGAGCAGUGCCGACAGCGCACUGGCCCGCGAGGUGAGUGCACGCUGCACCGGCAGCUAGCACGCCGCGCACUACCACGGUACGGCCUAGAUACCCUACACGCUAGGCGUCGCCGGUGAGAAAGCGCAGAAAGCACGCGGGAGAGAGGAGGAAGAAAGAGCCAAAGGAAGAAGAAGAGGCUGACAGUGGACCCGGGUCCACCUGUCAGCCAGAGAGAGCACUGUGCUCUCGGGUAUGACCAGCGUAUUAUUAAAUUUAGAAUUUAUUCUAAAUUUAUAUCCAGUGUAGAAAUCCCUCAUUUUCUUCCCAAAACCGUAGAUUUUUCCACGCAGCGCCAGUGCCCCACACUGUAUUUUUGCACCACUUAUUGCCCUCUCACUGUAGCCUUUUUUGUUUCAUUGCAUUUUUUUAUUAAAACAGCCUUUAGCAAAUCUCGAGGACGAGAUUUUUCUUAAGGGGGGUAGUGUUGUGACACCCCAAAAUUUUAGCCUUGUUUUGUUAAUAAAAACUUUGCCAGGAAAUUAAAAACUUUUAUUUUCUGGACUUCCUUUUGAUUUUUUUUUGAAACAUUUCCUUUUUACCUUGGAGUUUUUACCUCAAGUGAAAUACUUCCCAAAUUUAUUGGACUCUCUUCCCUCUCAAGACUUUUUCCCCUUGGCAAGGAUUUUAUAUUGGUAUCUUCAUCAACACUGGUGUUUGGUUAUUAAAAACCUUUCUUCUGUUUGUUCCCUUCUCAAAUUUAUUUUUUUGGGAUUAUUUUCUUUAACAGAAAACCCUAGGAGUUUUGGGACUUAUCUUAUAUUGAAACCACCCAUGGUUUUACCAUGCCUCAUGUGGUAAAUCCUUCCAAGACCACUCCCUUCCACUUGGGGCAAUCCUAACAUUCUGUUCCAACAAGUCCAAAUCAUUUUUGGAUUUUAUUCCAUUUAUUUUAUUUCCCAAAACAUUUCUAUCAAUUAUUUUAGGCCUAGGUGAUUUACAAAGGAAGUACCUAAUUUCCUUUGAGUUUUGAUCUCAAAUCAACUCCUUUGGAUAGUCCUUAGCACCCACAACCUAGAACCAUCAAGAUCCACUCUUCCUCUUUUCAAAAUUUUCAAGUUUCAGCCUCUACAAGUUUGGACCAGAUUUGCCAAAUUUGGUGAAAUUCAUAUUUCCCCUUCUCCAAAAAUUCUACCAAAAUUCAGGCAGCCCCCAGAUGCAAUGAGAGGCCACCCCACCAAAGAUCAGCUCAAGGAGAACCCCCACAUACCAGAAUCAUUCUGUCGAACACCUGGCCAGCACUGUUACUAUGCAUUUUCAGAAAAAUUCAGAGUUUCAGUAGAUUCAGUGUCGUUUCUUCAUCAGUGUUCUGUCACAUGUCAACAGUGCACCUGGCGUGUUGCGCAUGGCCCCUCCUCCCUGUCCAGAGCACCGCACGCGCGCUUGGCUGGUUCCUAGCAUCGGUGGCACCCUGGCCCGCCUGCGCCAGCGUCUUCCGCGGCGGCAGAACCUCCCGUGGCGGCCAACAGGAGGCACCCUACGGCACAACGCCGUUCGGCACCACCCAAGCCACCUGGGAGCUCCGCGUGGCCAUCUCCCUUGCCAACGCAUGCAUGCAGCACCGUCGCCGUGGCCUGGCACGCGCAGGGCGCGCUCUCUGCCGCAGACGUGCCGCACAGCCGUUCCGUUGGGGACAGGCCGUAACCGCCCUGCCCUGCUGAAUUAGGCAUCGGAGUGGAGUCAGUACCCCGUCUAGUCGAUGCUAUAGCCCUAAACCAACUGUCCAGCCACAGCGCCACCGUAAUCGCUCGCCGGACUUAUCCCGUUCACGGCAACCGCCUCGGGCCGGCUAUAAAUAACGCCUCCGAGCUUGCUCUCGCCCCCGCACACCUCCACCACCUCACCAGACCCCGCCCAGCCACUAGAAGAGCCUCGAGGGGCCCUUAUUCCUCAACUCCGGCUACCUCCGUCCGCCUCGGGCUCCGGCAGCGUUCUCGCUGGUGAGAGCUCCUCCACCGCCCUAGGCUUGCCUGUAGCCUCAUGGCGUCUCUAGAAGACUAACCCCCACUCCAAUUUGACCCCAGCAGCUCUCUCUGACGAGGCCCACGACUACCCGAACCACCGUUCGCCGGAGCAAGGGCCGCCGUCGACGUGGUGCUCGCCGGCGACCACUACCACCACCCACCGACGCGGAAGGAUGCACUGAACACGGAGGUACUCCCCGAUCCCCCUGCCUCGCCGUGGAUCGCCGCCAGCGACCUCCGCAGCUCUCGGGCGCCGACGAGCUCUGCUGCCUCUUUUGAAUAUACAAACCUGACGGGUGGGACCCGCCCGUCAGCCUCUCUGUUUUUUUUUUGCAACCGUUUUCUGAAAGCGUAUUCUGGCAAAUGCGCUUUCUAAUCUGAAUCGUUUUUUGCACUUUUCUGUUCUGCCCCCUGAGAGUUUUCUGUUUCAUUACAAAAAGGUCCCUGGAUUAAAACCCUUAUAACUUUUAAACAGAGAAGUAUUUUUGAUUGAUUCUUUUUCUGUCCUCUUUAAAAUUUUGUCUAGUUUAUUUUAAGAUUUAUUUCAAAAAAAUCAGACAACUUUUUGGUACUAUUCUUGAAACUAUAUAUUGAUUCAAAAAUAUUUUUAAAUAGGAUUUUGGAGAGAGGAGAAAGACUUUCAAAAGUUUUAGGAUGCACCUCACCACCCCACAACUUGAAGGCAAGCAUUCUGAACCCCGGCAUAAUAUUUUUGGUGUGUUCGUUGACACGUUUAUAACACCACCUCAUUUCGGA